rnacentral:misc_RNA from 1 species
GAUGAAGAACGUAGCGAAAUGCGAUAAGUAAUGUGAAUUGCAGAAUUCAGUGAAUCAUCGAAUCUUUGAACGCACAUUGCGCCCCUUGGUAUUCCGAGGGGCAUGCCUGUUCGAGCGUCAUUAUAACCCCUCAAGCUCAGCUUGGUGUUGGGGCCUGCCGCACGGGCAGCCCUUAAAAUCAGUGGCGGUGCUAUCUGGCUCUAAGCGUAGUAAUUCUUCUCGCUAUAGAGUCCCGGUGGAUGCUUGCCAUUAACCCCCAAUUUUCUAUGGUUGACCUCGGAUCAGGUAGGGAUACCCGCUGAACUUAAGCAUAUCAAUAAGCGGAGGA